GGGGAACUUGCCAUAUUGAUUAUGCAACUGCAGAAGGUGCAAACAAGGCGGUUGAGUUGGAUGGCGAAUACUUAUUGGGCCAUCCCGUUGUCCUUGGAUUUUCUCGUGAAACCAUAUUUAUACGAGGUUUGGAUACUUCUUUAGGAUUUGACCAGGUCCAAAGCUCCCUAGAAGCACUUUUCUCAACUUGCGGAAAGAUCUUAUACAUGC